UACGUAGGGGGGCAAGCGUUGUUCGGAAUUACUGGGCGUAAAGGGCGCGUAGGCGGCAUGGCAAGUCGGGAGUGAAAGGCCUGGGCUCAACCGAGGAACUGCUUUCGAGACUGCCAAGCUAGAGUGCGGAAGGGGCAUCUGGAAUUCCCAGUGUAGCGGUGAAAUGCGUAGAUAUUGGGAAGAACACCUGAGGCGAAGGCGGGAUGCUGGGCCGACACUGACGCUGAGGCGCGAAAGCCAGGGGAGCAAACGGG
rnacentral:rRNA from 1 species